CAGGUUUAAUUACAACACUUCUUCCUCAAGUGAUUGAGAAUAUGCAAAGCGACUGUGGUCUUCAAGCUCAAAUGGAUCAGAAGAUUAGCCCCUUGAAACCUUCGUAUUAAUCAACUCCAAAGAUCACGAAUCUAGUUCCACUGUAGUAAACAAAGUGAGAUAUUUUCGUCUUCUACUCACCAAGAAUCCCUUUGCCAUCAUCGUAUAGCUCCAAGCUGAGGAAAUUCGGAUACGGAUGAAGAAGAGGAACAAACUGCGUGUGACCUGUUCGGAAUCGACUGUUCGCUAGAACUGAUGAGGGAAGACUCCACGCUGCCUUAUAUAUAUACACGCCGAGCAGCGAGAGCGUCAGGAGCUGACCUAUAGCUUUGCGGCCCUGGCUGACUGACCUUCCCAGCGUCUCCCAAGGGGGGAGGGGGGUGAGUGUAAACAAAGACUUCAGUCUGUAGGAUACUGUAGGAGUUCUUUCUUCAGUAAAUCAUUUUCCUGUUUCCUGGGAUAUGCUUUAUCAUUAUC